CCGAGGUCUCCAUCUCUGGCUACGACGACAACUGGUUUGUGGGCCGCGUCGAGGCCUCCCUGAGCUGCGAUGCCCAGAGCAACCCGGAGCCCACGGCCUACGAAUGGAGCACAUCCAUGGGCCCGCUCCCCCCAGCAGCUGUGGCCCAGGGACCCCGGCUCAUCAUUCGCACCAUUGAUGAGUCGGCCAACACCACCUUCAUCUGCAGCGUUGCCAAUGCCGUGGGUACCGGUCGGGCUGAGCAGACCAUCCGAGUCAGAGAGAAAUAGUGUCACCACACAUCCGCCAUGGUGCCAGAGCUGGGAUGGGAUUGGAACCCAGGACCUGUGACUACACGUCUACCCCUCCUUCCACUGCCUUGCCCUCUCCUGGCUUAGGGAACCUCAGGGAUUCCCUCUAUGUUUCCCCUGGCCCUGCCACAGGGAGAGCAUUAAAAAAUGUAACAACGGUCCAGCCCCAAGCCUACGUCUGUCCUUCCCAGGACCUCUGAGGCUUCCUCUGCCUCAGCAGCUUCUUCUGGCUGCUCCCCUCCAUUAGAGCCAGACCUGAGCUAAAGGGACCUGAGCACUGCUCGAGAG